UACGGAAUGUGCAAACGUUAUUCGGAAUCACUGGGCUUAAAGAGUCCGUAGGCGGCUUGUUAGGUGAGGUGUGAAAUCCCUCGGCCCAACCGAGGAAUUGCGCUUCAAACCGGCAAGCUAGAGGAGGAUAGAGGUGGGCGGAACUGAUGGUGGAGCGGUGAAAUGCGUUGAUAUCAUCAGGAACACCGGAGGCGAAGGCGGUCCACUGGGUCCUUUCUGACGCUGAGGGACGAAAGCUAGGGGAGCGAACGGG
rnacentral:rRNA from 2 species